rfam:Saprolegnia diclina VS20 unplaced genomic scaffold supercont1.36, whole genome shotgun sequence.
ACACUGGUGUUUUUCAACACCACCCAUUGAACCAAAGAAAUCUCG